GAGGCGUCUCACCCCUUUAGGAGCUCUGGAGCUGGAAGUGUCUGCAGGGACCGAGAGAGCGACUGAAUUCAGGCCGGAAAAGAGCGUCUGUGAGUCGGCGUGAGAACGGUGGAUUUGUCGCCGAAGAGCGGAGCAUUUUACCGGAGAAAGAGAGGCUUUAAAACUCGGAUUAACUGACCUGCUGCUGGGCUGAAUCAUAGGAGAUGUGGAGGUACAUGUCAGUGAAGAGGCAGUGAUUCAGCAGCUGAGCAUCAUCUGUGGAUCUUCAGCAGCAGCCCCUUCCCUGUGAGAGAAACAAACCUUCAACAACGUCGAAAGUUGCUUACUUCAAGAGGAAAUAUGCGGAGGAGGAGGAUUUGCACAGAGGCCUACGUGGAUAUCUUCAAAAACACCUGAUACUGCAGGAGGAUCGGAGCUGCAUCCUGAAGCUUUCCCUGGAAAAACUGAGGUUUCUGGAGGAUCCUGAAGCCUACCUGAGGCGCUCCGUCCUCAUCAACAACCUGCUGAGGAAGAUCCACCAUGAAGAGGAGGAACUGGAGGAAGAGGAGGAGGAAGAAGAGGAAGAGGUAGAAGAACAGGAGGAGGAAGAAGAAGAUGAGGAGGUGAUAGGAGAGAGGAGGUUGUUUUACCCGGACAGGAAGAGGGUUAAAGUGCUGGUGAUGGAUUGUUGCUCUCCAGCGUUUGGCCUGGAGGAGCUUCAGAAGUACAAAUUGGUGCCGUUUUACCCGUCGUCCGGAUGCCUUUACAGCCUGGGAGCCUGUCCAGGAAUCACCCCGAACCACCAGGUGCUUCUGUACAACCUGGACGACAACGGAUGAUCCUCCAAUCAGAGAGGGCAACAUUACACACAUCCUUCACUCAAGUAGAAGUACAGAUACUCGUGUUUAAAAAUACUCUGGUGAAAGUAGAAGUACUGACUAAACUUCUUUACUCAAGUCAAAGUAAAGAGGGCUUUGAAAUGUACUUCAGUAAAAAGUACC